UCCUAAUAGCACCUCCCACCACCACCACCCCACCCCUCCCCCAUCUCCAGAUACACUGGUCCUUACUGCCAGACUAUCAGAAGUCCAGCACUUACUCACAUAGAAGCCACUGAUGGUCUAUGAAGUGUCCCGUCAGGAAUUUUUUCCUAAACGGUCUGAGCCUGCAAUCCCAGCACUUGGGAAGUGGAAAGAGGAAGCCAUGAGUUCAAUAUCAUUGUCAUCUUAGAGUUUGAGGCCAUCCUGGACGAUGCAGAAGCCUGGCUAAAAUUAAAACACAAUCUUCAGUGGAGAUUGGAAAGAUGGCAGCUAUUGCGAGACAUCUGCAUAUUGAUGUGGUAGGAGAAGAACACAAUUAAGGCCUGACUGCUUAGAAGCAACCGCGUGAGCACCAAGCACUGGCCAUCAGGGGCACAUCAGGAACAAACCAAGGAUUUUCACACCGUGUUUACCCCUAUUUUUGGAGAUCUUAGCCAGUGCAACUAAGCAAGAAAAAAGAAAUGAUGGUCAUCUGGAGUGGAAAAGCACAAACGAAAAUAUUUAAGCAAGACUGCUGAUCAGGCCUGAUGACCCAGGUCCGUCCCUGGGGCCCACGUCAAAAUGCAGGAUGCUGCGCUACUCCAACAGUCUGGCAAGGAGAACGAAGGUGGAGACAAGAGGAUUACACAGA
rnacentral:lncRNA from 1 species